CUUAACCUCUUGAGACCAAACAUAUGUUAGUGUGAAGUAGCAAACUUGUGUGUUUGUUGUCCAGUUCAUGACUACAAGCUGAAAAUAUUUUGACAUCACUAGUUAAAGUUUGAUAAAGGUAAUUACUGGCAUAGAAGCACCCAAGAUGUUUGCCAUGUUGGCUGCCUUUCAGUCUAUCCCACUGAAUAUUGCAGUGCUUUCCAGUCAGACAUUAGAGACCAUGUCAUGAAUGCUUACAGCAACCUGGCAAAGUUUCCUGCCACUGUAUGUGCACUGGCUCCAUAAAUCCCAGAGUAUUUAUUUCUGGGUCUGUCAUUUUCUUCUUAGAAAAACAUUUAAUACUCAGACUGUAUCUUCUGCACACAUUCAAGUGGGAAAAGAAAAGAAAGAAAAAAGAGGAAAAAAAAAAAGAGACUUGCAGUAGUUCAUUUUCAGCUCGUGUUUUGUGUUUGUGGGUGUUGCAACAGUUGUAGAUCCUGCAAAGUGGAAUGGUUCUUGAUUUAGUCUGUGACAUGAUUUUACUCAUUCUCCCACUGCUUCCUGAGCUCAGCAUGUCCCAGUGUUGUUUGGGAGAGAUAUGGAGUCAGCUGGCUGCUUUUCCAGGCAGCAUUAGUGUCCCCAUGCCUCUCCUUGCAGACAGCAACUUCUGUGUGAUAAGGCUAAGUUUUCAGCUCUGAACAUUCAUCAAAACACACCAUUACUCUAGUAAGAACAUUAAACUGAGAUCUCUGAUGCAUGGCCAAUUUGUCUCCUACACAAUGCUCUUCUCAGUUUGCACCUUUAAUGCAGCAGGUUUGGAAAUAGGCUUUGAAACAGGACCAUGUGGCUGAGCACAGAGAGCAGGAACCAGGAGGUUUGACAAUUGCAUCAUUAUCUGUGUCAUGCAGACGGAGCAGCCCCACAAGAGAGAGCUCUGUAUCACAAAUGUAGUGGUGGAAAUGGGAGUCAGUCCUCUCUCUCCCCAUCCAGAAUUUUGGGCAGUAGGCUGGGCAAACAGCAUGGAUGGUUCAGGGCUGCAUUUUUUAGCUCCUGGGCUUUUUGGUUUUCCUUCCUUCUUUCCUUCCUUCUUUCCUUCGUUUCCUUCUUUCUGUCUUUCGUGCAUUGGUAGCUUAUCCCUCCCUCUUCUCUACAGCAUCCUUGAGGCCGAUGUGCUGCUAGUAGAACUAGACACUCAUAUUCAACCCAAAUCUCUUCUGCUUUUUUGCCAGCUCUACUUGCCAGUUCCAAAUGGUCAGGGGAGCAGUGGUUCUAACCAGGCCAAGGGGCAUGUUAGGAAGUGAGAACAGGAGACUGUGAGCUCUUACCAGCAACAAGAAAAGGCUGCAGACAGCUCAGCAGUCAUCAGGACUGGAGAAGGAUGGGGGCAGAAUGCUGGGAAUGCUGCUGGUUCCUGCAGAAUUCCACUGGAAUGGGUAUUUCUGACUUAAGGGGAAAAAACCCUCCCCAUAAAGAAUAGGGUGGGUUUAGUUCUUAGGACAUUUAAUGAUGUACUGGCACAUAGUAACUGCACUAUAAAUAUAGUCUGAAAAAAUAUGAGCUUAGUUUGGAAGCUGCUCUCAGCUAAAUUAUGGGGUUUUUAUCCUGACCUAAACUGAUCCCACAUGUUCCUGGAGUCUCCCAAUGUUUGAGUGCACAGUAAAUCAACUGUAAUUUUUGCUUUUUAUUGCAAAGAAUGAACAGAAGAGAUUGGAAAUUAUAUGACUUUGGCAUAUGUUUAUCACAUGGUUCAGGAUUGUUUGAUAUCUUUUUAGCUUUAAGAUUUAAAUAAAGUUUAAAACAGGUAUAGAGGAUCAAAACUUGUUAACUGGCAUUAGCUCAGAGAAAGCAGCCUGAGGUUUACCAAAGUGUUCAUUUCACAAACAUUCAGUGCCUCUACAGAGAAGAAUGCACUGAUUUUACAAGUAUUCAUGUGUUCUGCUCACACAUACUGACUGUGUGAAGAAAUAGUACCACAGUAAGGAACAGUAAAGGAGGAGGAAAUAGCAAGUGACUUCUUUGGUUAUGAUACCCACUGCUUUAAAGCAACAGCCGUUGUACCCCUGGAUCGUGGUGCUUCUCCUUCAAAAAAUGAGCACAUUCAGUAUUUACUCUUUUUAACUCUCCUAAGGCCUUCUCUUCCCUCUUCCUCACUCCUCCUUGUUGUACCCACUUCAGGGGUGAUGCCAUAAACAAGUGUCUGCUCUGCAGCGUGGAGCUUAGCCUGCCCAUUUCAGCUUUGAAACUCUUUGCCUUUCUGUUCACAGACACAUUUUUUUCAUCUGAUCCCUGCCCUCCAGCCUUUUUUAAGAUAUUUCAUACUUUUUGUUGCUGUACCUUGUUACUUCUUCCUACUCUUUGGCUGCUUUUUCCAAUUUUUUUCUUUUUUUCUUUUAACUUCAGAGUUGGUAUUUGUAUUCUUUACUGGUACUACUGAAAUAUGGCUAAACUGUCUUCUUGAACUUGGCUUUCCUAAUGGACUGGCUUUCCCCUCUGAAACAUUAGUCUUGCAGCAUGAGUUUUGUGAGCUGACUGCCCACACAAGUCUGCUGCCAUGUGGGCUGUAGAGUCAGCUUGUCUGAAGCCUUCCUCAGUAAUUACCAGGUAAUAAAAGUUAACUGCCCCAUAAAACCACAUGGAUGAACCAUGCUAUUGCUGGCUUGCCCUACUCAGCCAUCCUCUUCCUGUGUGCUUGAUCUUUUGGGCAGGGGAAAGGACUACCCAGGGUCCCUUUUGGCACUCUUCUCUGUGUUUCUGAUAACUGGCGACCUGGCUAUGGGCUGCUGCUGACAAGGCUCAGAAGCACAUCUCAAACUAGGAGCCUGAAGCAGUGAAUCUGAGCUAAGAAGUUCCUACUUUAUCUGUCAGAAGGGGGGAAAAAAGAAGUUAAGGCACUCCAAACUCCUCCAACACUUAACUGUUCUCUAGACACCUUGAAAAGUGUUACAGAGUAAUGCUUCAAAGCUUAUCUGUUGGCAGCACUAUAACUGCUGCAGAGUGAAGGUGUCUAACAUGGACUCAAAAAGAGAUCAGCUUUGCAACUUCCCUGAAUUGGCCAUGACUCAAACUGGCAGAACUAGUCUUGAUUUUGUAGUUCAGUAGAUGUGUAUAAUACCUUUCUGGAGAAUUGGAAGUGUCAGGUUUCUGCCAACCUGCUAACAUGAUUUAUAUUGCUCUUGUAACUUGUAAUUUUUACUGCUGAGGCUCUGGUAUCUUCUUUUCUCGUGUGUGUCUUCUACCUCAUUUUUUACUUCUCGAUGAGAUAACAAUCCCAUUUGGGGGUUGGGUGUUUUUUUUUUUUUCUUUCGUUAUUACUAAGUAACUGAGUUUUCAGUCUUCUUCAGGGGCUGCAAGUAUGUCUGUGCAGAGUUCCUGGGAGAAUUGUAAAGGAGUUUAAAAAUGAUACAGAAGGCUGUUAAAAUACAGGUGGUAGCUUGGGAGGGGAAGCUGCUGAGUUGUAGAGCAUCCAGAAAUAGCCAGAAUAUCUUAGGAUAUCACUUAAUCCAUGCUCCUGCCCCAAAGAAGAAUCUUUACACUAGUACUCCUAACAGAGGCUUGUCUAAAUUGUGCUUACAUAAUGACAACCCUUCAGCCUCAUUAGGCAGCCGCUUACCCUUAACCUUAACCCUUGGAAAGAUUUUCUUAAUCUUGAGUCUUAAGUAUUCCAGGAUCCCAGAAAGAACCUGUUUGGGAUAGCGCCAAAAGAAUUCAGCUUCUCUUUUGCUUGCUGCACUGACUUUACAGGAGCGGAGGAGGGAAGCAACAAUAUGAAAGACACUUCCUUUCUUCCCCAUGGUCUGUCAAACUGAGUCCUCUCCGGUUUCAUCAGUGGCAAGGUACAUCUAAAAUGUUUACUGCAGGAAGAUGAAGCAGCCUUGCAGCCAGCUGCUCAGCAUUGGUCACUGCCUGCCAGAAGGAUGGGCCCAUCAUCGUGGCCCAGCACGGCCGUUCAUCACCCAGCACGUGCAGAGGUUAAGGGAUGCAAUCCCUGGGUUCGAGUGCAGUAAAAAUCGACCGGAAGCCCAGAGAAUCAGCCAAGAAACACUUUCAGAAGUCUGGAUUUCCUGCGCAUAAUGAAUUCUCAGAACGUCUUGUGGCCCAACAAGGUUGAUGAAUUUUUAGGAAGAUGAACUGAAUAACACAUAAAUCAGAAAGUGUUGAUGGUUGUGUUUCCAUGCAUUGGGGCCAUUUAUGAAGGAAGCUAUAAGGCAGUUUUCAUGUAUGAGGGCAUUGAUGCUGAACUAACAUCCAGGAAGCAGAGGGGUGGCAAGGACUGCACCUAAACCACCGACUCAGGGUCCUGCCUCUGGCCUGUCUCCAUUGGCCUGCUUGGGGGUGGUCACUGUGACUCAGGAGAGAAGUGCUAAAAGAGUCUUCUGUUCCUGUGCCUUCCAGCUGCUUCCAUCUUCCCUAACUUGAACAUCUCAGCUGUACACACGGAUAUAAGGACUACAUCACUUGCUGGCGCUGGCCUGUCCUGAGGACAGUAGGUGUUCUCCAUCAGUGAGUUUAGUUACACUUCAUCUGAACUUGUGGGUGUCAGAAAAAUUGAGCUCAUAAUCUUGAUAUUACAACCUUGUAGAAAAAGACCUUACCCCGAGGUUUGCCAUGUGAAUUUUGGGUUCUGGUGCUCAAAUACCUCUUUCUGCAACUGCUUUUAGUGAAUGAAUCUUGUGACUGGAAACGCUGCAUGCACUAGAACUGUGUUUAAAGCUGAAUUAUCAAAAAAUCCUCCAAAUUAACAGGAGAUUUUAAUCCGUGUUUGUUGGUCAUUCACAUGCUGCUGAGCAAGAAAUCCCUUAAGAGUUAAGAGCCACACAUGUACACUUGGAAGUGGAGGAGGAAUAUAUUUAUAUCCUCCAGCCCUAUGUGCCAGAGGAAGAAGGGCAAAAAGUCCUUCCAACGUGGAGAGGACUCCACAGACAGACAAAUACAGGGGGAGAAAUGAGCAGAUGGUGGACAGGAGGCAUUAAAGCCACAGCUCAUCUGCAUGGGGGCCCAGUCCAGAUUGCACCGGGAAGGGUCCCGAGUUGGCUCCCUGCCGAGGCCGCCGGCGGAGGUGAGGGAAUGUGAUCAAUAGGAGGCAUCAAGUGUUGGCUUGGGAAUCAAAGGCAAAACCGUGGAAAUGCCACUCUGCAAAUGGGGUUUUGCUCCGUUGCCAGGAGGUUCUCUAGCGGCAUUGGAAGACCAACCCGGUAACAGGAAAUUAACCAGAAGCGUUUUUGAGCGGCUCCUCGGCUGGUGAGUGCUGCUGGGGCUAUUUAUACCUCUGAACUACAGCAAUUCACCCUGUUAAGGAGCUGCUCAGAUGUCACAUAUUAGCCACUGCCAGAAUAAGUGACCUUUCUGCACAGUACAUUAAGAACAAAGAGAUGGAAAUUCCCAUUUUCCAAGCAUGGUCCAAAAAAACCUCUGUGCUCUUGUUAAACCAGCUGCAUUGAAGAGGAGUGAUUAGAACAGGCCUUUUUUUUUUUUAAGCCUGCACCUGUCUCUCAUUCCACAGCUGAGGACACACUGCAAUCUACUUCCUUCCAGACCUGAUCCUGUAAGAGCUUCAGGUGGUAAUUAAAUUCAUCAUUAUCUACAUCUGUUCUACUUAAAACACUUGAGGGGAAAAGCCACCUGAAGGCCAACAGUUGCUGGAACUUGUAGUAAUGAGUCACCCACAGGAAAAAAAGAAGCUCCCCCAUUUCUUCAUCCCCAAAUGGGUGAGAUUUUUCUUGGUUUUCAUUCUUAUAGAAGUCAAGAUCUUGCAAAGGAGGGAGGAUCAGUUUUGAGCAGCCUUGGGUGUCAGUCUCUUGAGAAGGUGACAGCCUCACUCCCAGCUAGGAAGAAAGGUUCCCUGGCUGUUCUAUCAAGAAUUACACAGGAAAGAACUGUGCCAGAUUACUGCAGGAAAGACGCUGUUGGAGAGGACUUCUGGCUUCUUUCCAGGGUACCUGACUGUCUCAUGGCAUAUUGGUGUCAUCCAGGGCAUCCAACAUGAAGCUCUCUAAUGUUAAUGAUAAAAGAAAAUUACUUCCCUGUGACUGGGGUUGGAGUGAACACAAGUGGCAUCACUGUUCUGUCAGAAAGCAUCAGAGCUUAUGGAUCUCCCAGUGGGAAGUAAAUUGCCUUGAUGUCCCCAGGGUCAAAAGCAGCGUGGCAGAUGCAGUGGCACAUCCCCUUUGGAAAAGCAACGAGAGAGAAAAAGCGGCAGGAGUGCAAAGCCGCUCAUUCACUCAGAGUAAUUGGUGAUGGAUAGGGAGCAAUAGAGGAGGGAUAAUACAGGGCAGUUUAUUGGGACACAGGAAGUGUGAAGAUGGAUGACAUCCCCAGUUCUGCACGGUGCUCCUUCCACACAUGCUAUUAAAUCCAGACUGGAAAGUGAAGCAGGCAGUCUACACCAAAGGGAGCUGUGCCUUCCAGGAGGCUCCCGGGUUAGUGGCCACACCACUCAAAGCCAGGACUUUGCUUCAAAUCACACCUUUCACUUCUGGGACAAAAAGGGGCUGCUCCAAGGCCAUGGAUCAAGGUCUAACCAAGUCCAGAUCACAGUUUUGAAUGUUCCUGCUCAGGACAUGCUAAAGGAACAUACCACUUAUGGAAAAGACUCCAGAAUAUCACCAGAAAGAGGACUGGGCAAUUUCAAGUCUUUGAUGAGCCAUUAUUUGAGCUUCCAAAUCUCCUGUGAGGACAAGGCAUCUCUGAGCUCACACCUCCUCAUCCAGCUCACCCUCUGCCUGCUGGAUCCUCGCUGCUGAACUGCUUCAAACACCAUCAUACAAUGCCUGGUCUAUUGUGUUCCUAGAUGUGUUUACAGUUGCUUCAAGGACAAGGAACAACACUUUUCCAUGAUGCUUUUGUUGCCUCAAUGUUGGAGUCACAAAUAAUUCCUGUCUGGUUUCACAUACGGGCCUUGGAGCAGUGAUGGAGACUCCGGUCCUGACCAGGAGAGCACAACUCCAGCGAUGAAGGUAAAGGAGUUCAUCCUACUGGAAUAUCCCUGGGGCUGCCAGCGAGGAACUCUUGAGCUGCCCGAACACAAAACCAGAUGCACACGUUCUCCAUGGGAUCAGUGUGCUCUGAUGGGUGAAGCUGCUCCAGCUCCACGGAACAGGGACACAGAGCAGCCCCAGCACAGGCAGAAGGCUCUGAAGUGACACCGGGCUGACGGGGAACAGCGUUUGUCCCAGGAUUAUCAUCAGGCCCCUCACAACCACAUUUACACUCACGCUGCGUGGAUGGGGACUUGUUGACAAUUCCCUGAAUUCCAGUUUGGAAGGAAAAGUUUUGUGUUUGAAGUGGAUUAUGGGAUGGAGAGGCAUGGGCUAGAGAGCAAAGCUGCACUGUGGAAAUCGUGGUGGAAAUUCCAUGUGCAGUUUGGAGGCACUCAUCAACACGAUGGUAAAUGAAAAAUGAAUAAUAACAAUCUCUGUAUCACAAACCCCACAAGGAACGUAGGUUCAGCUGCCCAGUGUUUUCCUCAGCCUCAUUUCUGAUUCCUUUUGAUAACUGUUGGUGCCGCUUUCUGGUGCCUGGCCAGAGAUCAUCACUCAGUCCGGCUUCAUUUAUUCCUUUCACAUCCUGAUGACUGUGGAUUAUGGUGAGUGCACAGUUCAAAGCUGCUGGUGUUUGC